UGCCCGGCGAACGCGAGGGACGUGAAGAAGGACGAGAAGAGCGUGCCGAACCUGGUGCAGCUGCUGGACCCGAGCCCGGGGAACACGGCCAAGAAGUACGCCAUCUCCUGCCUCCUGGCGCUGUCGGCGAGCAAGCGGUGCAAGAAGCUGAUGAUCGCGCAGGGCGCCAUCGGGUACCUGAAGAAGCUCUCCGAGAUGGACGUCGCCGGCGCCAAGAAGCUGCUCGAGAAGCUGGAGCGUGGCAAGCUGCGCACCCUGUUCACUAGGAAGUAAAGCAAGGAGAAGCGUUCUGUUUUGCCGUGAACCUGUAAAAAGAGCCGCCGUCCUGUGUUCAUAGCCUCUAUGAAGGCAGUGCAGACUGCAGAGAGUGGUACUGUUGUUGCCGAUUUGAACCUUUUAACAUACCUCGCGUUGUAGUAUCGCUGGUUAAUGUGCAUGUCACCUAUGUCAGGCAGUCGAUGCAUUAGUUCUUUAACUUAGGCUGAAGAAUGCCAAUAAAAGAGUGUU
rnacentral:lncRNA from 1 species